UUACCAUAACUAACCCCCAAUCCUUUAGUCAAGUUUAAGGUCACUACGUGAUCUCCACAACCUUUUUAGAAUCCAAAAAUAUCUAGGUUUAAUUUAAAGGGGUAAUUCUUGUAUUCCCUUAGCAAUUUAAUCAGAAAAUCUACAUUGAUUUUCCUUUCAACAGAAUUUACUUCAAAUUCAAUAGGUUAGAACUGUUGAGCCAAUAUCACUAUGAGUAGGAAUUAACUCUAUCAACCUCCAGAUCUUUCUUCACCAAGAUUCUUAACAUCCAUCAACAAUGCUAUAUAUGAUAAUUCAUGUA
rnacentral:lncRNA from 1 species